AACCAAUGUACAAGAGGGUUAGAGGAAUUCGCUUGCUUAAACAAAAGUAUUGUCUGCUGUAAAUACCUAUCAUGCCUACUAAGCAGAACAAAGGCACUAACCAUUGAUAAGGAAAAGCAGACACCUGGUUCUAUUGAUAAGGAAAAGCAGAUGCCUGAUUCUACUGAUAAGGGGGAGAAGCAGAUGGUUUAUGGCUGGGACACUGACCAAACCCUAAGGCCAUAUGUGAAGACUAAAAGGUGAAAAGUUUAUGAAGAGGAAGACUCAUUUACUUCAUCUUGAAGACCCCUACCCACAGGAGGAAGACUCAUUUACUUCAUCUUGAGACCCCUGCCCAUGACCAGAGGGGGGCACUGCGCAGGCGCAAAGGACCUUCUAGCUCAUUAUAAUACGAAGUGGGGAUAGAUACUAAAUAUGUAUAGGCAUAUCGAGUAAUCUAAUGCAUAUGUAUACCUUAAGACAAUAAAUAUAGAGGGAAAAAUGACCCUGGGUGUGCAUACUUUGGAGAAGCUAUCCCCAUGCACCUCAGCGCUGAAUAAAAGCAUACCUACUUUACAACUUUAACGAGUUGUGGGGUCAAUCCACGUAUCAAUUUAGUGAGCCAGCCAGGAGGUCUCUGUUCGGCUGCAGGAUCAGCUGAGGGGCGGACAUCUUAGGUGCCCUAGGUCACUUGCCUGGAGGAGCUCCACUUCUCAUCAGCUCACUGCAGGGACAGACAACAACCUGUGCUGGCUGCGGAGAAACAGUAUGCUUGGAAUUUAGGCAAUUUAGGGGCCUGUAAGGUGUACGCAUGGCCUGGGGCUGCUGGUAAGGUACACAGAGACAUCUGGCACAGCAAAGUUCUCCUUGGCAGGUAGGGCUUGCAAGCAGGGGGCUUGUCCACCGAUAGAGUGGCUGCGAGUGAUCCUGAAGGUGGAUCGGCCGAGUCUGGGUUUUCGCUGCACCCCAAGUUUUGGGAGCCAGGACGGACCUGCUAAGGGAAGCAGGUGAAGGGUAGGUGAACCCACCAGGUCUCCACUGCAUCUCAAAUUCUGGGAACCACGACGGACCUGCUACCAUAAGAAGCAGGAGAAGGGUAAGCGGAACCAUAGUGUGAGUGUGUGGGAUCCCGUGUGUGCUUGUGUUUCUGUGUGACUGAGACGUAGCAUAGCUACGAAGCGAGUGUGGAGUCCGAAUCUGCAGUUCCGUGUCUCCGCGAGGGGAGUGGCUGGUGAUGGACAAAGCGUUUAUGUUUUUCUGCCCUGUGUCUUAUCUGUGUAUAAUCAUUAAGGAGCUUAGAAAGUGGGGGAAGGUCCGGCUACCCCUCCCACAGUGGAUAGCUUUACAAAAUACAAGGGCAAGGGAAUUCCCUAUGUGCCUUGUGGGAGUGUAACUGUAUAUGCCGGGUGGCAUUUCACGUGGAUAUUGUGGGAGUAUGUGCCCUGUGGAGUGUAACUGUAUGUGACGGGUGGCAUUUCACAUGGAGAUUGUGGCAGUGCUUUUGGUGUAGAUUCCACUUUUAUAGCCACUCAGGGUAUCAGUGGGGCAGAUACUGCUUGGGGUGUCUUACGAAACACUGAUUACUUUGUGGAGAAAAGCCACAAAAUCAUGAAGGACUUCUGGGAAGUUAAAAAGGAAAACUGAGACAGGGUUUGUAAAAAGUAUCAAAGAAAAUUUGAGGAGACGUGGUUACAAAGGAGAAAGUAAAA